rnacentral:rRNA from 1 species
UGGUGGGUAGUUUGACUGGGGCGGUCUCCUCCUAAAGAGUAACGGAGGAGCACGAAGGUUGGCUAAUCCUGGUCGGACAUCAGGAGGUUAGUGCAAUGGCAUAAGCCAGCUUGACUGCGAGCGUGACGGCGCGAGCAGGUGCGAAAGCAGGUCAUAGUGAUCCGGUGGUUCUGAAUGGAAGGGCCAUCGCUCAACGGAUAAAAGGUACUCCGGGGAUAACAGGCUGAUACCGCCCAAGAGUUCAUAUCGACGGCGGUGUUUGGCACCUCGAUGUCGGCUCAUCACAUCCUGGGGCUGAAGUAGGUCCCAAGGGUAUGGCUGUUCGCCAUUUAAAGUGGUACGCGAGCUGGGUUUAGAACGUCGUGAGACAGUUCGGUCCCUAUCUGCCGUGGGCGCUGGAGAACUGAGGGGGGCUGCUCCUAGUACGAGAGGACCGGAGUGGACGCAUCACUGGUGUUCGGGUUGUCAUGCCAAUGGCACUGCCCGGUAGCUAAAUGCGGAAGAGAUAAGUGCUGAAAGCAUCUAAGCACGAAACUUGCCCCGAGAUGAGUUCUCCCUGACUCCUUGAGAGUCCUGAAGGAAC